CCGCGGUAAUUCCAGCUCCAAUAGCGUAUAUUAAAGUUGUUGCAGUUAAAAAGCUCGUAGUUGGACCUUGGGCCUGGACGGGCGGUCCGCCUCACGGCGUGUACUGUCUUGCCGGGCCUUUCCUCUUGGUGAUCUGUUGUUUCGGCAGCAGGGAACCAGGACCUUUACUUUGAAAAAAUUAGAGUGUUCAAAGCAGGCUCGACGCCGGAAUAUAUUAGCAUGGAAUAAUAAAAUAGGACGUGCGGUUCUAUUUUGUUGGUUUUUGGAAUCGCCGUAAUGAUUAAUAGGGACAGUCGGGGGCAUUAGUACUCACAUGCUAGAGGUGAAAUUCUUGGAUUUUGUGAAGACUAACUUCUGCGAAAGCAUUUGCCAAGGAUGUUUUCAUUAAUCAAGAACGAAGGUUAGGAUAUCGAA
rnacentral:rRNA from 14 species